rnacentral:lncRNA from 10 species
CGGCAGGAAGAGGCUCCGGCCUCAUUGGGCUUUUAGGCCCAUUGGGAUGUUCAUUAGAACUCUGAAAACUACAGUUCUCCCCUUUAUGAGGACUGCACCACAGCUCGCCCUCUCCUGGGUUCCGGUAAGAAGAGAUUCCAAUACCACUCUUUUUUCAGAAUUCAGAAAGGCAAGAGACCACCUUACUGAGCUUCAAACUGGGGCUGGGAACGCUGCCAUGAAUUGGGCUUGGUCUGUCUGAAGGGAGCCACCUUUUCGACAAUCCUUAGACUUCUUUUGCCUGUUGGAAUUACACCUUGGAUCGUGGCGAAGUCUAUAGAGGUCAGAUUAAGAAGAACCAAAGCAGAAUAAACGUAGAACCCGAUGCUGAGUUCACGAGUGAGGACGACCUCUUCCUAUAUGCUUUGCUAUACCCUGCGUUUUGAACAUUAAGGACGAGAUAGGAGGCCCAUAAUGUUUCUUCUUGCUUUAAUCCUGUCGUGGCAACGUUGACUUCCAGUAAGAAAGGCUGGUUGCAGAGUGAGCCCAUGGGACAGCCCUCUGAAAUUAUACUGCUUACAACCAUGCUGAGUCUGCAAGGACUUCGUCCAAGCCUUUCCGUCCAGGACCUCAAACAGAUCCAAUCACAAGAAGAGAGAUUUCAGGAAAGAGAAAAUUAUUCCUAUCAUCGGGGUUUUUGAAGAACAUGAAAUGACUGGGAAAAUAAUCAUGUUAAGUGGAAAAAAAAAAGAAAUCUAUCUGUUGUAAUUUUCAAAUAAUUUUUAAAUAAAUUUGAAAAAUUA